rnacentral:pre_miRNA from 1 species
UACCUACUCCCUCCGUUCGAAAUUACUUGUCACAAAAAUGGAUGUAUCUAGAUGUAUUUUAGUCCUAGAUACAUCCAUUUUCGAGACAAGUAAUUCCAAACGGAGGGAGUACAUG